rnacentral:rRNA from 1 species
GCACAGGUUUACCUGUGUGACUGCGUACCUUUUGUAUAAUGGGUCAGCGACUUAUAUUCUGUAGCAAGGUUAACCGUAUAGGGGAGCCGGAGGGAAACCGAGUCUUAAUUGGGCGUUAAGUUGCAGGGUAUAGACCCGAAACCCGGUGAUCUAGCCAUGGGCAGGUUGAAGGUUGGGUAACACUAACUGGAGGACCGAACCGACUAAUGUUGAAAAAUUAGCGGAUGACCUGUGGCUGGGGGUGAAAGGCCAAUCAAACCGGGAGAUAGCUGGUUCUCCCCGAAAGCUAUUUAGGUAGCGCCUCGUGAAUUCAUCUCCGGGGGUAGAGCACUGUUUCGGCUAGGGGGCCAUCCCGGCUUACCAACCCGAUGCAAACUGCGAAUACCGGAGAAUGUUAUCACGGGAGACACACGGCGGGUGCUAACGUCCGUCGUGAAGAGGGAAACAACCCAGACCGCCAGCUAAGGUCCCAAAGUCAUGGUUAAGUGGGAAACGAUGUGGGAAGGCCCAGACAGCCAGGAUGUUGGCUUAGAAGCAGCCAUCAUUUAAAGAAAGCGUAAUAGCUCACUGGUCGAGUCGGCCUGCGCGGAAGAUGUAACGGGGCUAAACCAU